rnacentral:misc_RNA from 1 species
GAAAUAUUAAUCGAUGGAUGCAAAGAGCAAGGAAGUACAACUCAACUACCACUCAGACCACUUUAAGCUUUUAUAGUUAAUGCCUCUUUUCUCUUCCGCGUAUGUCAUGCACAUACAGGCAACAUAUUCAUGCGUUUGGCUCCUUGAAGCGCAUGGAUAUGGACUCGAGAAAGGUGAAAAACAAAACAACCGAUAGGCGAACACACAUUGUAGGGAGAAUAUGGAUUGCGCUGCUUCUAAAAAGAUGGGGACUAAAUAAAGAAUUGCGCACUUUCUGUGGCUCUAUGCCUAUUAGCCAUGUAAACAUGUAUUGCUGUUUGCUAAGAAUAUUGGCUGCUUAAUCCACACACAGGCCAUAAAAAAACAUUUGUUACAAAAAAAAAGAUAACCAGUGCAUAGACGCUUCAACCUGUCUUUCUCAUUGCUCAGGAUGCCAAUUGAGUGCCAAUCAGCCGCACCAUUUCCCAUUUAUAUGAAUUUUUUAAUUCCAAUCCUUUUUUUUUUUAAACUAAUUUUAUUUUUCUGUUGAGUGGAGAUCAGAGUCCAUACCGACACACCCUGAAGGAGAACAGCUCCGCAUACACUCCAGGAUAUCAUGUUGCUAUCGCAUCCUCCCACCUUUUCAGUCAUCGAAACAAACAUAUGCUGGGACUGGAUUCCAAAGUAACACGCUGUCGGCUGAAGAAUACCUUAAGAAAUAAAGGAGUAGAAAGCUGCAAUGUUCUAAAUCGUCCCGGCAUUUGAUGUUUAAACCACCGUCAGCCAAUAUAGGCAUCUGUGUGCGUUUGCUUGUGAUUGACAAAGCUGAUCCACUUUCAUGCGCCCAAAAAAGCAACCCUCCAGGGAAGUCUGCUCUCGAUAGUGAACGUGCAAAAACAGAAAUUAGGAAAUUGGCCUUCAAUUGCUUCCAGGAACCCUAAUACACUAUUGCUUCAUAAACAGAAUUGCUUACAGGAACACUAACUUUUGCUUCAUAAACAUCAGUCAAGCUAAGAAACAAUUAUGCCAACCCAGAAAUCCCAAUUGAAAAAAAUCCUCUUACGAAUGGUUGCUGAAACUUAUAACUACGCUUUCAUCCACUGUUCUAAACCAUCAAAACCUUAAAAGCAAACCCUCUUAUGACGUAACAGGACCUGUACCAUCAACUCAUUUCAUCACGUUGCAUCAUCCAAAGGACAAUCCACAACUGCAACCUCCAAUUUUACAACUAAACUUAAAUUUACAUACUAUGUAAAAUAAAGCAAAUUACUACUGAUUGUGCUGCUAAAUCCAACCCUCAAGGGUUAUUUUUAUAAUUUAUCCCUUUAACGCUAGGCGCCUGCUAGAGAUGGGUGGGAUCAACAACUGGACUAGUUUCUGACUUUAUUUGUGCAUGAUGCAGGUCCUUUUGUGUAUUAACUUCUUCACCACAAACACUUGUUGAUAGGGAAUGAGGUUGCUGGCUAGAAUUGUGUGGUUUUUGCUGCUUCUGCAAUUGUUGCUGAAAUAAGAUGAACUCAUCAGGCUUCUCCCACUGCAAGUCAAAGUUCAGAUACAAUGAUUAAAUCUUCUGGAAGCAUUGUCAACUCCAAUUGAGCCUAUCACUCGUGUUAAAAAGGGCAACAGUAACUAAACCUAUCAAAAUGCCAUUAAUAGCAUUUGGUGAUUUAGACACAGCCAACAUAUUAAAUCCUUCAAAACCUUUCUCCUCCCUCCAUCCCAACCAUAGAAUUUAGGUAACUGCAUUCUUCACCAUUUCAGUUCAAACUCCUUCACAGACUUUUCUACAUCUCCAACAUUGGGUCCAACCUUGCAAACUCUUGAGUUUACCAAUUAUAUCGACUCAAUUUUCCUAACCAAAUCCAAUCUGUGUUAAAUCUGAGUACAUGGGGAUGCGCCAGGAUUUGAAUUAUACCUGGAAUUGACUUUUGUAAUCUGAGGUACAAUUGUAGUAGAAUAGCACUAAAAAGGGACAUUCUAAACUACCAAAAGCAUUAAUGCUCAAUGUUAUAAAGUCAAUAAAGUCAGAUAACUUACUCUACUUUCACAAGUUGUGCAGUUAUAAUAGUACUUAUACCCAUCAGGGCAGGCAUGCUCACUCCAAUCGCACUCUUGUAGAUCCACUGUCUGGGGACUUGGAGGUACUGCAAGUGUAGCAGAAGUAACACUCACUGCUGGAGGAUUGCUUUCAGUCCACGUAGACUCAGGGGUAACCUGCACACCUUGAUGCUGCUCUAAAUUUUGAGGCUGUUUCUUCAUCUCAGAGACGGCUUGUUGAGAUGAUUGCAAACAUUUGUGUGGAACUUGUGUUUGUUGUAAUGGCAUCUGAAACAACUGUGUUGGUGGCUGCUUUACUGGAGGAAGUGAUUGUUCUGUGAUAUGAGGAGCUCAAAGUGUCAGUUCAACUGCAUGGGAAACAGUUUGUGGUUGCAAAUUUUGGGAAAUUUCAAGCAUAGAGUACGAAGCAUUAGGCAAAAAUACACCUUCCCAUGGAAUCGCGGAAAUUGGGUGUCGGCCUGCAGCACAAACUCAACUUGGUACAUGCAGCACAAGGUCAACAGGGAAAGGAAAAUGAAUAAGCAAAAUGUACCUAAUCAUUGGUUCAUGAAAACAUGGACCAAAAAUUUUGUCCACCAAAUGCAUAAUUUCCCCUGAGAAAGAGAGAAAUUAUUGAUUAGGAAUCAUCAGAUGGAAAUUAAAGUUUAGUCUACUUUCAGUCUAUGAUAUGAUUAUCCAAAACUAUCAAAGAUUUAACUGAUAAAUCUAUGUUUGAAUGUCCAUUUGUUUGUGUGGUCUUCCACCUUAAGCAAAAUCGAAGCAAAACUAGUUUGUAUCUGUACUGUCAAGGCAAAGAGCUAACUAAGUAAAUGCAUAACCCAAUUGCAGGCUGUGGGGUUUUGGAAUCAGCACAGACCAUUAGAUAGCCAAAAUAAGUUAAUGAAUUCAAGCAAUUAACCAAAUAGAAGGUUAGUACAUUGCAUAAUCACCGCCACGUACUUGACAAUUCACUAAAAGUUCAUUAAUAGCAGAAAAUAGAUCAACAUUUUUCAUUUAUUUAUUUGCUUAAGCAAAGCACAGAUUAACAGCUUGUGAGACCAUGCAUACGUAUAAAAGCAUAAAUAUAAAGGAAGGAAAACCUUAAUUCUCUAGUCCUACAUUUUAUGGGAUCCACAAAACGAACAAUUACAGGCUGAUCACAACCCUGGAAAUGAUCAGAAAAGCAGAGAGGAUGAGAAAAUACAAUCCAAAAGUAAAAUCAUAAAGAUACACAUAAAAAUAGAAGAUACAAGAUACAGAUAAAAAUAGAAGAUACACUUUAAUUUCACUGUGAAAGUUCCAUUUGAUGCUUUCAUUGCCGCCACUGCCAUAUCUCUGUAAGAAAAUUUAAUAAAUGUGCAUCCUUCAUAAAAGCCCACCAGAAUGCACAAUUUGCCAGUUAAUAGAAACGUGUUUAUAUUCAGAUACAGAAUCAAACAUAACUAGGCCACCAAAACAGAAGAAGACAGGUGGAUAACAUUAUUUCUGCACUAAAAUGGAAGUUCCAGACAAAACAAUUGGUGCAACAAUAAAGUUCGCUAAACAAUUGCAUGUAUCAUAGAACAGUUUUGAUGCCUUUGCUUUUUUGUUCGUUAUGUUGCUCAUUCCGUGAUGAUGCAUGAAGAGACCAUCAAAAGAAACUAUGAUAAUCAUAUGGGACUAAAGACCAGGAUCUAUCUAGGUGAAAUGCACAGCAUUGUGUCUAAAAUAAAGACCAUAGACAAAUUAAAUUCCAUUAUGUCAAUAAUCACAGAUAUUUGAAGCUAAAGAAGCAAGUAAUUAAUAAGGAAGAUGGGCAUACCAUGACUUUGCUUCAGUAUCUUAAGCAAUGUAGGCAUCUUCCACAUGACCAUAUGGAGAAAAUAUCUAACAUGGAAAACAUUCGUACAUAAACCGAAAUCCUAAAAAAAGAAAAUAUAUGAAACAUAGAGUUGAUUUUGGGAAACAUUAUCUGUACAUAAAGUCAAGUAAAAGAUGUACAUUUACAUGGCAUAUGCGCUCAAGUAAAUACACCCACUUGCUGUUGCAUUGUAUAGUGCAUGCAAGUACUGUUACCUAUGCAAUGAAUUUAAUCAUAGACAACAGCAUCCAAGCCAUAGCCUUCAACUUAACAGAUUUUACUGCUGAUUCCAUCCUAACAUACUCUAAUUUCGUCUAAUUUCUUUUUGCAGUUUGCAUUCAUAACCCAUGCAUAUUAUCAUACACCCAAAAAUAUACCAGAAAUGGUGAAUCUCAAAUCUAUUUUGUUGAGCUAGGAUAGAAUAAAUUUCAAUACUCAUUAAAUGUGACUCAUACUUCCUCAAUUUCCUGUUUUGAAGCUUGUUUGUUAAUGGAACCAACAUAGAGUUUGUCAACAAACUCCCCUCCCCCUAUCAUAGGACAAUAAAGAAAUAGUUAACAGGCAAUGAAAACAAAACAUGACAUUGGAGAGAGUAAGAAACAAAUAAAUAUGCUUCAGAUAUACAGGUCAACGAAGACCCAGAGACAGUAACCAAUAGCAGUGUUCCCACACAGCAUGGAAUCUUAUUAUUUAUGGAAACCAAAGAGCAUGAAAAUAGACGCCCAUUUUUCACUUUCUGGAAAAUAUGAUCGACGUAUAGAAAGCCUCAUACAAUACUAGCUGCUGACAUAUUAGCCACAGGUUGCUACCUAAAAAAUUUCCUGUAAGCGAUUCUUAAUUAGUUAUUCCUUGUUCAUGCCUUUGUUUGCAAGUACAAUAAGGCCAUGUUUGGUAUGAUUACGUUGUUUGGUAAAUUUAAUAACAUGGAAUGACAAUUAUAUAAUGUAAUCAAUUAUUCUUAAAGUAGCGUAAUGAUCAUUACAUGCAAAAAUGGAUGUAAUCAUGAUUAUUUGUUUUGAUUUUUUCAUUUAUUGUCAAUAUUACCACCACCAUUACUACUUCGACACACUGUUACCACCAUCACUACUCCAUUUUGUCACCACCACUGCUAAUAUCAUCAUCGCCAUCGCCAUCGCCACUACCACUAUCACUACUACCACCACCACCACCAUCACUACUACCACCACCACCAUCCUAUUACUACCAUCGCUAUCACUACCACUACCACCACUUAACUAUUGCUAUAACCACUUAACCAUUGCCACUUUUACCACCACCUCACCUUGCCACCACCACCACCACCACUUAACAACCGUUGUCAUUGUUGCCACUGCUACCACCACCACUUAGUCACUAUUACCACUCAACUACCAAUCGCUGCAACUAUUACCACUUAUUAUUAAUGUUAUAAAUAAAUUAAAUAUUAAAA